GUGCUUACUUUGGCAGCACAUCUACUAAAAUUAGAACGAUAUAGAGAUUAGCAUGACCCCUGCUCAAGGAUGACAUGCAAAUUCGUGAAGCAUUCCAUAUUUUA